rnacentral:rRNA from 1 species
UCCUACGGGAGGCAGCAGUGGGGAAUCUUAGACAAUGGGCGCAAGCCUGAUCUAGCCAUGCCGCGUGUGUGAUGAAGGUCUUAGGAUCGUAAAGCACUUUCGCCAGGGAUGAUAAUGACAGUACCUGGUAAAGAAACCCCGGCUAACUCCGUGCCAGCAGCCGCGGUAAUACGGAGGGGGUUAGCGUUGUUCGGAAUUACUGGGCGUAAAGCGUACGUAGGCGGAUUGGAAAGUUGGGGGUGAAAUCCCAGGGCUCAACCCUGGAACUGCCUCCAAAACUAUCAGUCUAGAGUUCGAGAGAGGUGAGUGGAAUUCCAAGUGUAGAGGUGAAAUUCGUAGAUAUUUGGAGGAACACCAGUGGCGAAGGCGGCUCACUGGCUCGAUACUGACGCUGAGGUACGAAAGUGUGGGGAGCAAACAGGAUUAGAUACCCUGGUAGUCCACACCGUAAACGAUGAAUGCCAGUCGUCGGGCAGUAUACUGUUCGGGACACACCUAACGGAUUAAGCAU